GCAUUCGCGUUUGAUCCCAGCCUUCCUAUUCAUCAUCCACGGGCAAGCUCAGCCCCUGUUCCACGUCAAACAAAACUGCCUCCACCCUCCUGGCAUUUCGGUAGAGAGCCCCAGCUCAUCUCCCCUCCUCUUCGCCCGUGGGAUCAACUCAAAUCCCAGCUUCUUCCUGAUUGAUCCCGACGUCCCAAGCUCUCCGAGCUUCCUCCCGUGUCCCACGAAUGAAGCUAAUGCCGUUCCGUCCGCGAUUCAAGGAACAUCUCCCAGCCAUCCCCUGCUUCGAAACCAAGUUCCAAUCCCAUCUUCUCCGUAAUCCUCUCAAACGCCCACGUCAUGCCGCAUCCCCUGUUCCCAGCUCAUGAAUUCGUUUCCUCUUCCCGUUCGGAAUUGGUUCCAUCUCCACGGGAUAAGAUCAAAUCCCAGCUCACGGCUCUUCACUCCUUCCCAGCCGAAUCAACCAACCUUCUUCGGAUUCCACGUCCACGAAUAGAUCCAGCUCCCCCCAGCCGAGAUCCCAACGUCUCUCCCUUGUUUCACGCAUCUUCAUCUCAUCCGAAUCCCCUGUUCCGUGCCCAAGUAUCCCGUGGCUAGCCGGAUGAACUUCUCGAUCACAUCUUCACAUCUCGAUCCCCUCCACGGAAUAAUCCCCUGUUUCAACUUACACGUCUCCGUAUUCAUCCUCAUCCCGUGAACAACCCAACUUGUUCCCAACCGAUUGCUUCCUCUCAGCCGAGAACACCAUCCUACGUUCUAUCCCAGCUCCUCUUCCAGCCGAAUCUAGCAUCAUCAUUCUCUCUCGCAUCCCUUUCCUCCGGAACAAUCUCCUUCCGAUUUUUCCCAACCGAGUUCAUUCUUAUCUAUGGAUCCAAUCUUAACCUCCAACCAUCUGCCUCUUCCCAUGCGCCCAAUCCUCUUCGUAAAUCAAGCAUCCAGCAUCUUCUUCCCAACGUCCAGAUUGGAUAUUGCAAUCAUCCGGAUCAGAUCAAACCUCCACGAGUUUAUCUUCCCAUUCGGAUCAAUACAGAGAAAGAAAGAGAGGGGAUGCUGAGUCUAUAAAAGGAGGAGAGUUCUCCUUAGGGAUUAAUUCCUCCUUUUCCCCAUCGGGAGAAGAAGAAGCUGGGGUUUGGUUCCAGAUCUCUCACAGGCCAAGUUCCCACGGGAAGAAGAGGAAAGGCAGAGAAGAGUUUGGGUAUUUUGGGAAUGAUUUCCCAAAGGAAGAGAUGAUGAUUUGUUGAGAGGGAGCCGACGAGAGGAAGGAGCCAAUCAUCAUGAAGUCCCCCUGCAGUGCAGCUGUUCAACUCUUCAUGGAAGGUGAUCGUAAAUCAAAGCUAAAAUGCGCAUUGAGUCCAAAAGAUGCAUCACCGCAGGUGACCAGCCAACCGCAUGGUUCAACCCCAGUUGCACACUAGAAGGAGGCUAAGUUCAGCCAUCCAGUUCAUUGCAACCAAUUUCCAGCAGCCUGUGCAUCUCAUCUCGAUGGAGCCCUCGUGCAGCCCAUCCUCUUCUCUAGCGAGUGAUCCACAGCAUCCAAGGCCAUGCUAUCAGCUCCUUCAAGCCGUCCGCAUGUGAAUCUCCUAUGAUCAGCUCGCUUCUGCUCAUCCAGAUUUCAUCCGCCCGUCUCACACGCCUCCCAGCCGUCCGCGAAGCAUCCACCCAGCAUCCCGUGAAGCUUCCCAGCAUUCGCGUCCAACUCAUCCGCGUCUCAACCUCCACGUCCGUCUGCGUCCCAGUUUCCAUCUUCGCCAUCCAGGACGAUCCCACAAUGCAAGCGAUCGCGUUUUUCCGAGUGCAUCCACAAUCUUCCACGUUCCAGCCUCCUCAAAUUCCUUCCGUGAUUCACAGCGCAUUCCUCCUUCUGCAACGCAUCCCAGAUUCCGCGAUCGCGAUCCAGCCAUCUGCGCGCGAUUCUCCCACAUCCAAGGUGCUGCGAUCUUCCAUUCCCGCUUGCAAACCUCCCAGCAUCCGUGCCCCAUUCUCACGUGUUCCCAGUUGUCCGCGAUGCAAGCGAUUGCGAUCUUCCGAGAUUCAUCCUAUCCGUCCGUCUCCACCGCGUGCGAGAAGGGGAUCGAAGGCCAGCUUGAUAUCUCUCGCUUGGCUGGGGGAAAGGGUCUCUUAUCUCUCAUUUGGAAAGGAAAACAGGGGCUCUGCCAUUGAAAAAAAAAAAAAAAGAGAAACAGGGCAUGCUCUGCUUCCGAAAAGAAUAGGAAAAAAAUAUGGGAAAGCUAAUGUCUAUUAUGGAGGGCUAAAGUCCUAGGUGAUGGGUGAAGGAAGAUCCUUUGAUGUACCGAGUUCAUGAUGGACACACUGCAAGGGGAGAUGAUGCUACGGAGGGAGAGCAUCAUUUAUCACAGCAUAGAGAGGAUCAUUGAGGGAGACAGAGACACUAUGAUUAUUGAAUGUUGUUUUUUAUAUUCUUUUGGACUUUGAUUGUUGAACUUUGAUGGUAUAUGAAGUUGUGGACUACAUUUUGUGUUCUUACAAUGCUAAGAUUUUGUUGUGAUAAAUGUAUUUUAUAACUAUAAUUUCAAUCUUUAUGUGUUAUUAUC